AGUUUGAUCCUGGCUCAAAUUGAACGCUGGCGGCAGGCCUAACACAUGCAAGUCGAGCGGUAGCACAGAGAGCUUGCUCUCGGGUGACGAGCGGCGGACGGGUGAGUAAUGUCUGGGAAACUGCCUGAUGGAGGGGGAUAACUACUGGAAACGGUAGCUAAUACCGCAUAACGUCGCAAGACCAAAGUGGGGGACCUUCGGGCCUCAUGCCAUCAGAUGUGCCCAGAUGGGAUUAGCUAGUAGGUGGGGUAACGGCUCACCUAGGCGACGAUCCCUAGCUGGUCUGAGAGGAUGACCAGCCACACUGGAACUGAGACACGGUCCAGACUCCUACGGGAGGCAGCAGUGGGGAAUAUUGCACAAUGGGCGCAAGCCUGAUGCAGCCAUGCCGCGUGUGUGAAGAAGGCCUUCGGGUUGUAAAGCACUUUCAGCGGGGAGGAAGGCGGUGAGGUUAAUAACCUCAUCGAUUGACGUUACCCGCAGAAGAAGCACCGGCUAACUCCGUGCCAGCAGCCGCGGUAAUACGGAGGGUGCAAGCGUUAAUCGGAAUUACUGGGCGUAAAGCGCACGCAGGCGGUCUGUCAAGUCGGAUGUGAAAUCCCCGGGCUCAACCUGGGAACUGCAUUCGAAACUGGCAGGCUAGAGUCUUGUAGAGGGGGGUAGAAUUCCAGGUGUAGCGGUGAAAUGCGUAGAGAUCUGGAGGAAUACCGGUGGCGAAGGCGGCCCCCUGGACAAAGACUGACGCUCAGGUGCGAAAGCGUGGGGAGCAAACAGGAUUAGAUACCCUGGUAGUCCACGCUGUAAACGAUGUCGAUUUGGAGGUUGUGCCCUUGAGGCGUGGCUUCCGGAGCUAACGCGUUAAAUCGACCGCCUGGGAGUACGGCCGCAAGGGUAAAACUCAAAUGAAUUGACGGGGGCCCGCACAAGCGGUGGAGCAUGUGGUUUAAUUCGAUGCAACGCGAAGAACCUUACCUGGUCUUGACAUCCACAGAACUUUCCAGAGAUGGAUUGGUGCCUUCGGGAACUGUGAGACAGGUGCUGCAUGGCUGUCGUCAGCUCGUGUUGUGAAAUGUUGGGUUAAGUCCCGCAACGAGCGCAACCCUUAUCCUUUGUUGCCAGCGGUUAGGCCGGGAACUCAAAGGAGACUGCCAGUGAUAAACUGGAGGAAGGUGGGGAUGACGUCAAGUCAUCAUGGCCCUUACGACCAGGGCUACACACGUGCUACAAUGGCAUAUACAAAGAGAAGCGACCUCGCGAGAGCAAGCGGACCUCAUAAAGUAUGUCGUAGUCCGGAUUGGAGUCUGCAACUCGACUCCAUGAAGUCGGAAUCGCUAGUAAUCGUAGAUCAGAAUGCUACGGUGAAUACGUUCCCGGGCCUUGUACACACCGCCCGUCACACCAUGGGAGUGGGUUGCAAAAGAAGUAGGUAGCUUAACCUUCGGGAGGGCGCUUACCACUUUGUGAUUCAUGACUGGGGUGAAGUCGUAACAAGGUAACCGUAGGGGAACCUGCGGCUGGAUCACCUCCUUA
rnacentral:rRNA from 1 species